CAAACCAAGAGAUAUAUGAGAGGAUGAAGGGUUUAAGUGAAACCGAUCAAUCUUUCUAUUCUGCUGCGUUGGUGCCACUACAAAUAGAUUUUGUUUCUCAACGACCAACCAAGCUUAAAUCAUUGAUUCGAUUAGUAAAAUAUUGGAGGAAAACAUCGUUUCAGUAAAGUACAGGAGACAAAAUACUUCCAACAUCAUACCCUUUAGAAGUCAUCCCUAUCAGUCAAUGGCUUAAAGAAUGCGGUCGUGAAAAAUUCGACUUACGGAAAGGCUUCUACAACGUUCUGAAAGCACUUGUGAAUUAUCCUAAUUUAGCUUAUGUCUGUGAAGAUAACUACAAUUCUUCUAGUGUGAAAAGAUCAUUGAAGCAGAAUUGGUACGUAAUGGAUCCUGCUAACCCAUUUAACAACUUGAUGCGAAGGUGUAAUUGCUGGAAGGAAGUCAAAACUAUUGCUAAAAUAUGUCUUAACGAACCUCUUUUGAGUGACCUAAGUGGUGAUGUGGGUUGGAUCUAACAGGCAUCACUGAUUAUGUUAUCAAUUGUUACCAGAGGCUACGGAUAUACAGAAUGCUUUUGUUAGGAAAUUGUUCACACGUAGUAUUUAAUUGA